GAGAGCGGUGUGAUGGGAAACUAUCAUGCACCGUUCGGAGGGGGGCACACGGAAAAGGGCUGUUUCUCAGCACCUCGCCGGGUGCCUACCCUAC
rnacentral:ncRNA from 1 species